UUUGUCUUUUAAUUGUGGACUGGAAUGAAAGGUCAGACUGAAUAUUUUUGUCUUAUGCUUGUACAUUGAAAUUUAUAAUUUAGUAAAAAAGCUAAAAUUUCUCUUAAAGACGAGAAGACCCUAUCAAGCUUUACAAUUUUAUUAUAAGAUCAAAUUAUAAAAAAAAAUUGUUUUACUGGGGCAGUAGGCAAGACUAAUCUUGCUUCACAAUUAUGAUCUAUGUUUCUUGAAAAAUCAAAAACUUUUUAAACAAGAACAAGUUACUGUAGGGAUAACAGCAUAAUUUUUUUAAAGAGUUCUCAUCAUCAAAAAAUUUUGUGACCUCGAUGUUGGAUUAAGAUCCCUCUUCCGCGCAAUAGCGGAAAAAGGAAGUCUGUUCGACUUUUAAUUUCUUCCA
rnacentral:rRNA from 1 species